rnacentral:miRNA from 1 species
CUGCAGAUUUGUGCAUUAAGCUGC